UGNNAAUAUUGCGCAAUGGGGGCAACCCUGACGCAGCCAUGCCGCGUGAAUGAAGAAGGCCUUCGGGUUGUAAAGUUCUUUCGGUAGCGAGGAAGGCAUUUAGUUUAAUAAACUGGAUGAUUGACGUUAACUACAGAAGAAGCACCGGCUAACUCCGUGCCAGCAGCCGCGGUAAUACGGAGGGUGCGAGCGUUAAUCGGAAUAACUGGGCGUAAAGGGCACGCAGGCGGUGACUUAAGUGAGGUGUGAAAGCCCCGGGCUUAACCUGGGAAUUGCAUUUCAUACUGGGUCGCUAGAGUACUUUAGGGAGGGGUAGAAUUCCACGUGUAGCGGUGAAAUGCGUAGAGAUGUGGAGGAAUACCGAAGGCGAAGGCAGCCCCUUGGGAAUGUACUGACGCUCAUGUGCGAAAGCGUGGGGAGCAAACAGGAUUAGAUACCCUGGUAGUCCACGCUGUAAACGAUGUCGAUUUGGGGGUUGAGCUUUAAGUUUGGCGCCCGUAGCUAACGUGAUAAAUCGACCGCCUGGGGAGUACGGCCGCAAGGUUA
rnacentral:rRNA from 1 species